GCAGAGGCCGGGCGCAUGGAGGCGCCUGGAACACACACUCACGGGCGGGGAGGGAGCGAGCUGCCGCGCGAGCCCCCUGCACACACACUCAGUCUGGGCUUGCAGCUGCAGGAAAAGCUACAGCAAGUGGGGUGGGGGGGAAGAGAGGAUGAAGGCCCUGAGGAAAACGUCGUUUCAAAGAGGCAAACUUAUGAAUCGCAUCAGCAACGGAAUAUUUUGUCUGUCCAGAUACACAAGCCUCAAUAUCUUCUGGACUUAGCUGAGUCUGUAAGAAGAGGUGAAGUCUACUGUCCGAAAGCAAUAAUGCAUUUUGUAGGAUCCUUUAAAAAAAGAAAAACACACGACUAGAACAAUUUCUCAAAGGUGUCCUGCUUUUAAAUGAAUCCCAAAUUAGCUUCAGAAUGCACUGCACAUAAUAAAAUGAUUAGUGCCAUCUGGAGGUUAAAUGAGAGAAGACACACAGAGAAGAAGAAUUAGAGAAAGAUGUUCAUUGAACCAAUCACACACACCACAUCUAUAAGGGAAAACAUUUAGAGUUCUUUACUAACCACUGUAAGCCAACAUGUGAGCAGUCAUAUACGCACUCUUCACCUAGGUAUGCCCUUGGAAUGCCUGGUCUACUCUUUAAUUGAGAAAUGACAACUUUUGCUUUUUUUCCUUCUGCACCAGCCGCUUAUAUUGCUUGAAGGAUGUAAUUAAAAAGCAAUCAAAAUGAAAAAUAAAGUGUCUGCACUAUCCAA